UACGGAGGGUGCAAGCGUUAUCCGGAUUUACUGGGUUUAAAGGGCGCGUAGGUGGCGGGACAAGCGUGCGGUGAAAGCCUGGGGCUCAACCCCGGGUCGGCCGUGCGAACUGUUUUGCUUGAGCACUGUAGAGGCAGGCGGAAUUCCGGGUGUAGCGGUGGAAUGCGUAGAGAUCCGGAAGAACACCGGUGGCGAAGGCGGCCUGCUGGGCAGUAGCUGACACUGAGGCGCGACAGCGUGGGGAGCAAACAGG
rnacentral:rRNA from 1 species